rnacentral:sRNA from 1 species
GGCCUCACCUCCAACAGUGGGGAUCAAAUUUCAACAUAAGGUUUAGGGGACAAACGUCCAAACUACAGCAAGCCCAUCCUACAGCAAGGCCCUAGAAGAUACAAUUUGUUCUCAAUUAUUUGAAGAUACUUAUAAGAUAGAGUCUUGCUCUGUCGCCCAGGCUGGAGUGCAGUGGUGCGAUCUUGGCUCACUGCAAGCUCCGCCUCGCGGGUUCACGCCAUUCUCCUGCCUCAGCCUCCUGAGUAGCUGGGACUACAGGCGCCCACCACCACACCUGGCUAAUUUUUUGUAUUUUUAGUAGAGACGGGGUUUCCCCGUGUUAGCCAGGAUGGUCUCGAUGUCCUGACCUCGUGAUCCGCCCACCUUGGCCUCCCAAAGUGCUGUGAUUACAGGUGUGAGCCACCAUGCCCAGCCUAAUAAUUUUGAUUAAUGACUGUAUGAAAUCCUUCUUAACUGUUAUUUUUUCUUCUUUAAGUAUUAAUGUAUUGUUAAUCUGUAAAACUAGAUUUUUGAGAUUCAAAGUGAGAUUCAAACAUAUUUUGGC